AGUUGUCGACUACUUUGCCCGCCAUUGCUUAUGGAUCUAAUUUGGAGAGCUUUACGGGAAAGAGGUGGCUGGUUAUGGGAUACUAUUGAGGAGGGUCUAGGUACGUAUUUAUAUGGGUUUUCAGAAGACGUGAUGAUGACGGGAUUCUAGGCUUUACAGGAUUUGUAUGAAGGAAUAUCCGAUUACGACUGGACUAUGCGCGAAUAUUCAAAUGAAGAGUAUAGAAGAAUAGGGAACGAGAAUCAUGACAGGGGUGACGGGGGGCGCCGAUCGGCCCCAAUAGGGCACCG
rnacentral:lncRNA from 1 species